rnacentral:rRNA from 1 species
CGGUGGAGGGAGACGGAUCGUUUACUUUGAAAAAAUCAGAGUGUUUCAAGCAGGCAGCUCGCUCUUGCAUGGAUUAGCAUGGGAUAAUGAAAUAGGACUCUGGUGCUAUUUUGUU